rnacentral:misc_RNA from 1 species
GAGAUACGCGCGGACCGACUUUUCCGUCUGCUGGGAAAUGAAAAAGAGAAGCCAUCGCGGCCUCCGUCCUUCCCAAUUCUCAUUCCGAUAACUGAUUUUCUUCAUUAAAGAUGGCUAGGGCACCGAUAACCGCCGCCGGAUCAUUAACCUCCUCCUCCCCUUCGCUCACCACCACCGUCAUCUUGGCCAAUGGUUCCUCUUCCUCUCAGCCCCCCGAAACCCUAGUGCUCCGUCUCAAUCGGAAGAAGAAAAAGGUCUCAUGGAAGGAAGGGACCGUCGACAACGAGUUCAUGCAGAAAAAGAGUUCCAAGAAGUGCUGUAUAUUCCACAAGCAGAAACCCUUUGACGAGGACGGCAGCGAUCAGGAGGAUGACGAUAAUCACCACCAUGGAAAUGGAAACCCUUGUUGCUCUAGGGGAAACGGCGGAGAUGGUUCCAGUAGAGUCAGUUGAUAGUCCGGAUUCAGAUGUAAAGCUGAUGUUGGAAAGGUUACUUGAUUCGCGCGUGUGUGUGUUUCUUUUUUCUUUAAAUCGGGUUGAGUGUCAGAUUAUCUAAUUAUACUUAAUUUUUUUGUCGAAGUAACUGAUAAAAUUUGCUGCUCGACGAAUGAUUCGAAUCUUUAUAGGUGGAUGUAUAUUGGCCACCGUCUUACCAAAUGAAAGUUUGC